rnacentral:misc_RNA from 1 species
UUUCCGUAGGUGAACCUGCGGAAGGAUCAUUAUUGUAUAACCGAGGUGCGAGGGCUGUCGCUGACCCGAAAGGUCGUGCACGACCGUGUGCCCUCACACACAUCCAUCUCACCCCUAUGUGCACCACCGCGUGGGUCCCCCUUUGGCUUGUUCGGAGGGGGGCUUACGUUUUCACUCAAACUUUGUAUGCAGUGUAGAAUGUAUUUUUUGUUUUUGCGAUCACGCAAUCAAUACAACUUUCAACAACGGAUCUCUUGGCUCUC